ensembl:lncRNA
CCUGGAGCCCCCCGGAUCCAGGCCGGGAUUUCCCUGCAGCCCGCAUUCCCCGUGAGAUCCAGGCCGGGAUUUCCCUGCAGCCCGCAUUCCCCGUGAGAUCCAGGCCGGGAUUUCCCUGCAGCCCGCAUUCCCCGUGAGAUCCAGGCCGGGAUUUCCCUGCAGCCCGCAUUCCCCGUGAGAUCCAGGCCGGGAUUUCCCUGCAGCCCGCAUUCCCCGUGAGAUCCAGGCCGGGAUUUCCCCUGGUUCCCAAUCCCACCCAAAAUCCAGUCCGGGCUUUCCCGAGUCCCCAAUUCCCGCUGUUUCUCCUCAUUCCCAAUCCCGGUUUAUCCCUGGUUAUUCCAGGUUUUUCCCGUUUCGUAUCCGGUUAUUCCCGGUUAUUCCCAUUUCCAUCCCCAGUCCCGUCCCCAUUCCCGGUUAUUCCCAUUUCCACUCCAGGUUGUUCCCGUUUCAUUCCCGGUUAUUCCGUUAUUCCCGUUCCCAUUCCCGGUUAUUCCUGUUCCCAUAUCCGUUCCCAUUCCCGGUUAUUCCCGUCCCAUUCCCGUUUCCAUUCCCGGUUAUUCCCGUUUCCAUUUCCGUUUCCAUUCCUGUUUCCGUUCCGGUUUCCGUUCCCGUCCCCAUUCCCGGUUAUUCCCGUUCCCAUUCCCAUUUCCAUUCCCGUUUCCAUUCCUGUUUCCGUUCCUGUUCCCAUUCCUGUCCCCAUUCCCGGUUAUUCCCGUUCCCAUUCCCGUUUCAUCCCCGGUUAUUCCCGUUUCCAUUCCUGUUUCCGUUCCUGUUUCCGUUCCCAUUCCCGUUUCCAUUCCCGGUUAUUCCCGUUCCCAUUCCCGUCCCCAUUCCCGGUUAUUCCCGUUCCCAUUCCCGGUUAUUCCCGUUCCCAUUCCUGUUCCCAUCCCUGGUUAUUCCCGUUUCCAUUCCCGGUUAUUCCUAUUCCCCAUUCCCGGUUAUUCCCGUUACCAUUCCUGUUCCCAUUCCCGGUUAUUCCAGUUUCCACUGCCAUUUCCAUUCCCGGUUAUUCCCCGGUUAUUCCUGUUUCCAUUCCCGUUUCAUCCCUGGUUAUUCCCAUUUCCAUUCCCGGUGUUUCCAUUCCCGGUUAUCCCCGGUUAUUCCCGUUUCCAUUCCCAGUUAUUCUCGUUCCCAUUCCCGGUUAUUCCCGGUGUUUCCAUUCCCGGUUAUCCCCGGUUAUUCCCGGUGUUUCCAUUCCCGGUUAUUCCCGGUGUUUCCAUUCCCGGUUAUCCCCGGUUAUUCCCGGUGUUUCCAUUCCUGGUUAUCCCCGUUCCCAUUCCCGGUUAUCCCCGGUGUUUCCAUCCCCAGUUAUUCCCGUUCCCAUUCCCGGUUAUUCCCGGUGUUUCCAUUCCCGUUCCCAUUCCCGGUUAUCCCCGAUGUUUCCAUUCCCGGUUAUCCCCGGUUAUUCCCGUUUCCAUUCCCGGUUUUCCCGUUCCCAUUCCCGGUUAUUCCCGCUGUUCCCAUUCCCUGUUAUUCCCAUUCCCGUUCCCGGUUCUCCCGCGGUACCUGCCGGGGUCGUGCCGUCUCCGGGCCGGUUCCGUGGGGGUGUCCCCGGUGCCGCCAUCCCCGCCCCGCUCGCGGCUCCCGCUGCGGCUGCCGGGACCCGAACCGGGAACAUCUGCACCGGGAGAGGGGGAUCCCGGGAAUAACGGGGAUACCGGGAAUAUCCCGGGGAUAACGGGGAUACCGGGAAUAUCCCGGGGAUAACGGGGAUAACGGGAAUAUCCCAGGGAUAACGGGGAUACCGGGAAUAUCCCGGGAAUAACGGGAAUAUCCCGGGGAUAACGGGAAUACCGGGAAUAUCUCGGUGAUAACGGGGAUACCGGGAAUAUCCCGGGGAUACCGGGAAUAUCCCGGGAAUAACGGGGAUACCGGGAAUAUCCCGGGAAUAACGGGGAUACCGGGAAUAUCCCGGGGAUACCGGGAAUAUCCCGGGAAUAACGGGGAUACCGGGAAUAUCCCGGGGAUCCCGGGAAUACCGGGAAUAUCUC